rnacentral:rRNA from 1 species
CCUACGGGCGGCAGCAGUGAGGAAUAUUGGUCAAUGGCCGGAAGGCUGAACCAGCCAUGCCGCGUGAAGGUCAGUGCCCUAUGGGCGUUAAACUUCUUUUGUGCGGGAGCAAUAAUGGUCACGUGUGGCCAGACGAGAGUACCGUACGAAUAAGCAUCGGCUAACUCCGUGCCAGCAGCCGCGGUAAUACGGGGGAUGCAAGCGUUAUCCGGAUUUAUUGGGUUUAAAGGGUGCGUAGGCUGUGAGGUAAGUCAGCGGUGAAAUGCCCCCGCGCAACGGGGUGAAGUGCCAUUGAUACUGCCUGGCUGGAAUGCGGAUGCCGUGGGAGGAAUGUGUGGUGUAGCGGUGAAAUGCAUAGAUAUCACACAGAACACCGAUUGCGAAGGCAUCUCACGAAUCCGCGAUUGACGCUGAUGCACGAAAGCGUGGGUAUCAAACAGGAUUAGAUACCCCAGUAGUC